AUUGAACGCUGGCGGCAGGCCUAACACAUGCAAGUCGAGCGAGCGGCGGACGGGUGAGUAAUGUCUGGGAAACUGCCUGAUGGAGGGGGAUAACUCCUGGAAACGGUAGUUAAUACCGCAUACCAUCAGAUGUGCCCAUAUGGGAUUAGCUAGUAGGUGUGGUAAUGGCUCACCUAGGCGACGAUCCCUAGCUGGUCUGAGAGGAUUACCAGCCACACUGGAACUGAGACACGGUCCAGACUCCUACGGGAGGCAGCAGUUGGGAAUAUUGCACAAUGGGCGCAAGCCUGAUGCAGCCAUGCCGCGUGUGUGAAGAAGGCCUUCGGGUUGUAAAGCUCUUUCAGCAGGGAGGCGUUACUCGCAGAGGAAGCACCGGCUAACUCCGUGCCAGCAGCCGCGGUAAUAC
rnacentral:rRNA from 1 species